UCCUUUUCAGCUCAAGCUGAUACAACAACACAAGACACAAAAUCUCAGGAUCCUGCAAACACACAAGUCAUAGGGAUUUCUGUCGCUGCAGUCGCUGUUCUCCUUCUUGCUCUUCUCUGGCUGAUCUGCAGAAAAACAGCUGGUGAGUUUUCACAUUUACUCCUUUAUAACAAUUAAAAACAGUUCAGAUGAGCAAACAAACACAUCAUGUUCAGACUGUAAGUAUCACAGAAACAUGUGGAUUAUAUGAAAUUCUCAAACAGAAGUUUAUUCCUGCUGAGAAAUCCUGUAAUGUCAAUCUCAACGAGAUAUCAAGUCAA